UACGUAGGGUGCGAGCGUUAAUCGGAAUUACUGGGCGUAAAGCGUGCGCAGGCGGUGAUGUAAGACAGAUGUGAAAUCCCCGGGCUCAACCUGGGAACUGCAUUUGUGACUGCAUCGCUGGAGUGCGGCAGAGGGGGAUGGAAUUCCACGUGUAGCAGUGAAAUGCGUAGAGAUGUGGAGGAACACCGAUGGCGAAGGCAGCCCCCUGGGUUAGCACUGACGCUCAUGCACAAAAGCGUGGGGAGCAAACAGG
rnacentral:rRNA from 1 species